AAGAUCACCAGUGAGUUCGUAGCUAAGUGAGUAAUAGAAGUAGAGCCUAGAUGCUAGCACAUCAACCGUUCUCCUAUUCAAGUUCUUCAAUCGGGCAAUGCUUGCUGAAGCACAAGCCUUAGCCUCAUCAUAUUUCUUCUGAUCAAUCAGAAAUAUUAGCAAAACCAAAUAGCAGAAAAUCUCUAUCUCGGGUAAGGGGUGUUUUGCAGGUGCCUGUGUUGCCGAGUCAACAUCCAUUUCGUAGUCAUCCUCCUUCGGAAUAAAUGAGGAUAAUCUUGAGUGCAAAUCGGAUCCUGGCGGGAGAGCAAAAU
rnacentral:misc_RNA from 1 species